rnacentral:rRNA from 1 species
UACGAAGGGUGCAAGCGUUACUCGGAAUUACUGGGCGUAAAGCGUGCGUAGGUGGUUUGUUAAGUCUGCUGUGAAAUCCCCGGGCUCAACCUGGGAACUGCAUCUGUGACUGUAUAGCUAGAGUACGGUAGAGGGGAUGGAAUUCCGCGUGUAGCAGUGAAAUGCGUAGAUAUGCGGAGGAACACCGAUGGCGAAGGCAAUCCCUGGACCUGUACUGACGCUCAUGCACGAAAGCGUGGGAGCAACAGG